rnacentral:tRNA from 1 species
UAAAAGGAAGCAUUAAUGCAUUUAGUUUCGACCUAAAAAAUUGAAUUAUAUUCUCUUUUAU